rnacentral:tRNA from 1 species
GGGUGAUUAGCUCAGAGGUAGAGCACUGCCUUCACACGGCAGGGGUCACAUGUUCGAUCCAUGUAUCACCCACCA